GAUGAACGCUAGCGGGAGGCUUAACACAUGCAAGUCGAGGGGCAGCACGGGAGAGCAAUAUUCUGGUGGCGACCGGCGCACGGGUGAGUAACACGUAUGCAACCUACCUCGUACAGGGGGAUAACCCGGAGAAAUUCGGACUAAUAUCCCAUGAUGAUAUUGAGAGGCAUCUUUUAAUAUUUAAAGCUCAGGCGGUACGGGAUGGGCAUGCGGAACAUUAGCUAGUUGGCAGGGUAACGGCCUACCAAGGCUGCGAUGUUUAGGGGACCUGAGAGGAUUAGCCCCCACACUGGUACUGAGAGACGGACCAGACUCCUACGGGAGGCAGCAGUGAGGAAUAUUGGUCAAUGGGCGCAAGCCUGAACCAGCCAUCCCGCGUGAAGGAAGAAGGCGCUAUGCGUUGUAAACUUCUUUUCCAGGGGGAGAAUUUUUCCGUCGUGACGGGAAUUGACGGUACUCUGGGAAUAAGCAUCGGCUAACUCCGUGCCAGCAGCCGCAGUAAGAC
rnacentral:rRNA from 1 species